AUCCAGUCCAGGGGCUGUUGGAUGCAGCUACAGACUGGGACUAGAUGCCUGUUGGAACUGAGAUUUAGCAGGCUGCUUCCAAUAGGCACAACAUGAGGCAGUAAGUUUCUGGACCUUGUUGAAAAAGUUCUAUCUGGGUCAGAGCUGCUGUCUAGCCUGGACCGAAUCUCCGCUACUGCUGCAACAUCAGCGCACGCCAAUGCAAGCAAGAGUCUGGGACUAUAUAACGAAAAUAUCAGCCUUUUCCUCACCUACAUAAGAGGAAUGUGACAUGGUAACACAAUGUGACACACACUGCAUCAGAAUGUGUCACCCAGAAACUUGAAAACAUAGCAUCAC